GUGGGGAAUAUUGCACAAUGGAGGAAACUCUGAUGCAGCGACGCCGCGUGAGUGAUGAAGGUCUUCGGAUCGUAAAACUCUGUCCUUUGGGAAGAUAAUGACAGUACCAUUGGAGGAAGCCCCGGCUAACUACGUGCCAGCAGCCGCGGUAAUACGUAGGGGGCGAGCGUUGUCCGGAAUUAUUGGGCGUAAAGGGUACGUAGGCGGUUUAGAAAGUCAGAUGUUAAAGCGUGAGGCUCAACCUCAUAAAGCAUUUGAAACUUCUAGACUUGAGUAGUGGAGAGGAAAGUGGAAUUCCUAGUGUAGCGGUGAAAUGCGUAGAUAUUAGGAAGAAUACCAGUGGCGAAGGCGACUUUCUGGACACAAACUGACGCUGAGGUACGAAAGCGUGGGGAGCAAACAGGAUUAGAAACCCUAGUAGUCC
rnacentral:rRNA from 1 species